GGGGGGGGGGGCAUAGAAAAGACGAGGAAUGCCAAGAAGUUGGAAACUUGACAUGGAAAAACACACACUCUCAAUUUUCCCCGCCACAUUCAACACAAGCACGUUACAUUGCAUUACACCGCAAUAAACCGAACGUUUCCAAACCCCAAAACGGCCCUUCUCGUGGCAAUAGAAGCGUAAAACAUCCUAAAUGUUAUUUUAAACAGAUAAAGAACUAGUGGGUGCGCACAAGCGCACUCUCAACUACUCAUUACAACAAGCAACAAUUUCUCAAAGUUAAGAAUUGUUCACCGAGUUCGGCAAUAGGAAUCUUCACAACUUACUGUUUGACGGCUGUCUGUCUCGAACACUAAUUUCAGACUCAGCCUGGCAAAGUACGAACAGGAGAGACGACCAGUCCGCCUACUUUUGCCCCACCUUCUUUUUCAAGUCCACACACCCAUCUUGCCUCUGCCGACUCCCCAAAAGAAAAAAAAAACCCACACUCCGUUUCACUGGGUCCAACCCACCCCUUAGUUUUUAGUGGUCCAGCUCGCACCCCCACAACUCGCCGCCGCUGGCCCAGCCCCUCCCCCUUUCUGUCCACACACGCCCCCGCGGGGGGACUCUUAUACAACAUCCUUUUUCUCCUUCGGUGUCUCCUGACUUUGUCACUCAGCUGAUGGUGAAUUUGUUCUGGGAGGGCAGCAGAUGACUCACUGAGGUUUUGGUGUGUGGGGGUGGGGGGGGGGAAACUCCCUAACAGUGGACGUUGAUGAAUGUGCGCAGGUUACCAUGGCGACAGACUGGCCGAAUCAUAAUCACACACGAUACGGGCAAAAGCAUCGGUCGUGACGUCUGCAGAAGUUCUCCCCGUUGGCAUAUUAAAUAGCUUCCACACCGGAAGACUUACAAAAUAGUGGGAGGAAGAAGUUUCAGGAAGAAAGAAUGUUGCUGGUUGCAAUCGAGAAAGAGGUGGGGGCAAUUGAGGGCAUGUCAAGGCUUGAGAGGAAGAAAGAGAGGAAAAAAAAAAAGAAGGGUGGGGAAGAGACGGGUGGAGCGAAGACAUGGAGGCAAAGACAAAUCCUUGAGCAGCUACCAUCCCGAGGCCCACCUGCCUCUCGACUUCAUGCAAGGAAGACGAGUAUAUUUGGAAGUGAGAAUGCAGCUCCAUACAGCAACUACAUGCUCAUCGACAAAGGGUAACGUUACGGCAGAGUCAUGUAAUUGACAAAUAUUCUUGUCCAGGUUUUGCUUUUCAAGACAAUUUUAUUUGCUGUUUCGUGUAGAUUCGCCGUCCUUUUCGACAUUAACAUUGUAGCAAUUGUCAAGCCUUGUGUACAUAGCAGGGAUAGUUCAUCCAUAUGAUCUUACAAAACGUGUGUGUGUGUGUGUGUGUGUGUAUGUGUGUGUGUGUGUAAAAUGUUCCCCCCAAGCAGUGAAGUAAUUUUGUGGAAGCCCAUUUGAUUGAUGCAAAAUCAGAUUCCUGUUCAGAUUUUGUCAUGAAUUAGCACUUGUUAAAUUAAAGACACAAAAAUCAUGACAUUAAUAUGAAGUAGCAGUUUAUUUAUAACAAUAUAGUCCAAAGCAAAGUUUCAAAGACAAAAAGAACAUUCAUGGAAGGCAGCAGCAAGUCUUCAACGGGAAGAGCGCCCCCAGACGAAGAAAAAAACGUAACG